CGAAGCACUUAACUUUGAUUCUUUCGGGAUGAAGAGUUCUGUGACUGAGCGGCGGACGGGUGAGUAACGCGUGGGUAACCUGCCUCAUACAGGGGGAUAACAGUUAGAAAUGGCUGCUAAUACCGCAUAAGACCACAGCACCGCAUGGUGCAGGGGUAAAAACUCCGGUGGUAUGAGAUGGACCCGCGUCUGAUUAGCUAGUUGGUGGGGUAACGGCCUACCAAGGCGACGAUCAGUAGCCGACCUGAGAGGGUGACCGGCCACAUUGGGACUGAGACACGGCCCAAACUCCUACGGGAGGCAGCAGUGGGGAAUAUUGCACAAUGGGGGAAACCCUGAUGCAGCGACGCCGCGUGAGCGAAGAAGUAUUUCGGUAUGUAAAGCUCUAUCAGCAGGGAAGAAAAUGACGGUACCUGACUAAGAAGCCCCGGCUAACUACGUGCCAGCAGCCGCGGUAAUACGUAGGGGGCAAGCGUUAUCCGGAUUUACUGGGUGUAAAGGGAGCGUAGACGGCGAGGCAAGUCUGAUGUGAAAACCCGGGGCUCAACCCCGUGACUGCAUUGGAAACUGUUUUGCUUGAGUGNCCGGAGAGGUAAGCGGAAUUCCUAGUGUAGCGGUGAAAUGCGUAGAUAUUAGGAGGAACACCAGUGGCGAAGGCGGCUUACUGGA
rnacentral:rRNA from 1 species